AUUCCAGCUCCAAUAGCGUAUAUUAAAGUUGUUGCAGUUAAAAAGCUCGUAGUUGAACUUCUUGGCAUCCUUUAAGCUGGCUUCGGUCGUUUCAAGGGUGUCAAUCCGCUAGGGAACUACAUUCGCACUUCACUGUGCGGUGUAAGGAACUGGCAUUUUACUUAGAAAAAAUUAGAGUGUUCAAGGCAGGCUAUCGCCCUGAAUACACAAGCUUGGAAUAAUGAAAUAGGACUAUUUCCAUUUUAUUGGUUAUUGGAUUUAGUAAUGAUUAAUAGGGACAGUUGGGGGCAUUUGUAUUUAAUAGUCAGAGGUGAAAUUCUUGGAUUUAUUAAAGACAAACUUAUGCGAAAGCAUUUGCCAAGGAUGUUUUCAUUG
rnacentral:rRNA from 1 species